CUUUAGAAUAAGAGCACUUCCUUGCUGUGUGUUGGGCGUUAUAGUAUUCAUUGCCUCGGGGAGACAGGCUGAAGGAUUUGUGAAAGUUGGCUGACAACUUAAAAACGUAAAAACACCAGAACCAGGCUGCCAUCAAGAUCCAGUGUGAAGGCAAGGCAGCAGCUGCCCCUCUGCGUCUGUCUGGCUCUUACACAGUCACCUGCGUCACGUCCACCUCCAGCCAAACAGCAGGGACUCAUGGCCCAGCCGAGGAGUUGUGAGGGGGGCUAUUCCCUGUGGGAGCAGAAUAACAAUGGCUGGGUGUCCCUGAGCUCCUCGGCACGGGUGACCCCCUCAGGACCCCGGUCCUCUGAGAACUGGAGAUCCAGGCCUCCUCUACGGCCAUCCAGCCCUCUGUCUCUCAGCCAUCUGGACACCCACCAGAAGAGGAGGUCUCCUGUUAAGGCACAGCACUGCCCACCCCAGAGCAAGCCAGCGUGGGACAGUCUGAAUGAUCACACAGGGACCGCAGUGAGAGGGCUUUACUCCACACACAGCUCUUCCGGGAGUGAAGGUGGUGUGGAUGGCUGGGAGCUCCCUGGGCUGAGGCGCUGGCGCUCCCUGUCCCGUCUGGCACCCGAGGGGGCCCCGCGGCCCACGUCGCCCGCCGGCCAAGAGCUGCGCACAGCGCUGGUGGAGAGCGGCGCCAGGCGGGCCGAGCUCGUGCGGCAGCUGAGGGAGGCCCACAGCCGGCUGGAGCAGCAGGCAGAGCUGCUGCGCGGGCGGGACGGCCAACUGGACGCGCACCGGGCGCAGACUGAGCUGCUGGAGCUCAAGCACAAGGUGAGGGGACACGUUCCCAGGUGCCUCUGACUCUCCUUCUCUCCGGGCCUCAGCGUUUUACCUCCCAUCUAGAGUGUCUUUUACAGCACGAAAACACGUACAAACAUUUCAAACCUUGAAUAAGUUAAUAAACACAGUUAGUGAAUAAGCUGAGAAAUGGAAACUUUGUGACCGUGUGACGAACGUUGCUUGAUUUCUGUGCACGGAUUCCAGAGCAGGAGCCUCAGGCGCUUGUCCCUGGGACUGGUUGACAUUGCAGACAUGCAAGAUGCGUGUUAUCCAAGAGCAGCAGGGAAGUGUGGGAUGUAGGGAUACAGAGCAGGGCUGACACACAAACUACAGCCGAGAGGAAAC
rnacentral:lncRNA from 1 species